rnacentral:misc_RNA from 1 species
AAGUCGUAACAAGGUUUCCGUAGGUGAACCUGCGGAAGGAUCAUUAGUGAAAUCCAACGGUCGGUGUCCCGGCGCCUUGAUGGGUCGGGCCCUUCCAUCAUCUCACACACUUUUGUUGAACCGUAGGGAGUUGGUUAACGCCUUCUCUCACCCUUUCAAACUCUUAAAGUCUCAGAAUGAAGUUAUGGUGAAAACCAAAAACACAAUUUUCAACAACGGAUCUCUUGGCUCUC